UGGGGAAUAUUGCACAAUGGAGGGAACUCUGAUGCAGCGACGCCGCGUGAACGAAGAAGGCUUUCGAGUCGUAAAGUUCUUUUAUAUGGGAAGAUAAUGACGGUACCAUAAGAAAAAGCCCCGGCUAACUACGUGCCAGCAGCCGCGGUAAUACGUAGGGGGCUAGCGUUUUCCGGAAUCACUGGGCGUAAAGGGUUCGCAGGCGGAAAUGCAAGUCAGGUGUAAAAGGCAGUAGCUUAACUACUGUAAGCAUUUGAAACUGCAUAUCUUGAGAAGAGUAGAGGUAAGUGGAAUUUUUAGUGUAGCGGUGAAAUGCGUAGAUAUUAAAAGGAAUACCGGUGGCGAAGGCGGCUUACUGGGCUCAUUCUGACGCUGAGGAACGAAAGCGUGGGUAGCAAACAGG
rnacentral:rRNA from 1 species